rnacentral:rRNA from 1 species
UGGGGGAUAUUGGACAAUGGGGGGAACCCUGAUCCAGCGACGCCGCGUGAGUGAAGAAGUAUUUCGGUAUGUAAAGCUCUAUCAGCAGGGAAGAAAUCAUGACGGUACCUGAGUAAGAAGCCCCGGCUAACUACGUGCCAGCAGCCGCGGUAAUACGUAGGGGGCAAGCGUUAUCCGGAAUUACUGGGUGUAAAGGGAGCGUAGACGGUAAAGCAAGUCUGGAGUGAAAGGCUGGGGCCCAACCCCGGGACUGCUCUGGAAACUGUUAAACUGGAGUGCAGGAGAGGCAGGCGGAAUUCCUAGUGUAGCGGUGAAAUGCGUAGAUAUUAGGAGAACACCAGUGGCGAAGGCGGCCUGCUUGGACUGUAACUGACGUUGAGGCUCGAAAGCGUGGGGAGCAAACA